CCCUGACAGUUACAUACCGUAGCUGACUAACCCAAGACAGGAGAUUAACAUG
rnacentral:ncRNA from 1 species